GUAAAGAACAGCAGAUUUAGUCACUCAGGGUCUGCUUCAAAAGUAGGACCAACAUAUGUGAAAAUGUAAAACCAACAUGAGCCAAUGAUGUUGCUGACAGGAAAAAAACAGUGCAACCUGAGACUAAGAGUACAGUGCCCAAGCAAGGGUGCAAAAGGCCACUGAUCUCUGUACUACCUCGACCACAGCAGGGUAUUGUGCUGGGUCCUAAGCACAGUGGCCCUGCUGUUUCUAAAGUACACCUGGAGACUAUCUGCUAAGGACUAUCUAGCUAGAAACCUGGUUAUUUGCUACUCUUCCUAAUUAAUGCUUUGCCCAUG